AUAAACGCUGGCGGCGCACAUAAGACAUGCAAGUCGAACGGAAGUCGUUAUAUUGAUUUGAAGAGAACGGAGAACUUGUCAAAGGGACAUGAUGAAGAUUUAUAACAAUGGCUUUAGUGGCGGACUGGUGAGUAAUACGUAAGCAACCUGCCUAUUAGAGGGGAACAACAGUUAGAAAUGACUGCUAAUACCGCAUAUGCCAUAGUAACCACAUGGUUACAGUGGGAAAGGAGCAAUCCGCUAAUAGAUGGGCUUACGGCUGAUUAGCUAGUUGGUGGGGUAACGGCCUACCAAGGCGACGAUCAGUAGCCGGACUGAGAGGUUCAACGGCCACAUUGGGACUGGGAUACGGCCCAGACUCCUACGGGAGGCAGCAGUCGGGAAUUUUGCGCAAUGGAGGAAACUCUGACGCAGUGACGCCGCGUGCAGGAAGAAGGUUUUCGGAUUGUAAACUGCUUUAGACAGGGAAGAAAAAGGACAGUACCUGUAGAAUAAGCUCCGGCUAACUACGUGCCAGCAGCGGC
rnacentral:rRNA from 1 species